ensembl:snRNA U6 U6 spliceosomal RNA
UGGCGAGCGCACGCGCCCUACAGUGAAAAUCUCUCCAAAAAAAAAAAUAUGGAAUAAUACAGAGAAGAUUUGGAGGGCCCCUGCACAAGGAUGACACACACAUUCAUGAAGCGUUGCAUAUUUUU